AUUCCAUGAUGUGGACAUUUCCUUUGCAAUUCUUUAAAUCAUUCCCAUGCAUCAUACAAAGACUCCCCAUCCAGUUGAUGGAAGUUAUUAAACUCUCCUCUUAUUCU